CUGUUUUCGGUUUCAUUUCGAAAGGACUUGUCAUGACUUGACUCAUCAGCCAUAUCUUCAUGUUUUGGGUUUCCAUUUCCUGUUUUAUUUUGGUAGUCUCCCGGUUUCUGUUUCUGUUCUAGCUUCACUUCCGGUUUACGUCACGUCACAGCUGUUCCGGCUUCACCCGGUCAUUUUACACACCUGCACUUCAUCAGUAAUCAUUCACCUUGCAUUUAAGCACCACUUCUCACACCAGCACGUCGCCAGAUCGUUGAUUCAUUGUUCCAGCAAUUCUCCAGUUCAUCGUAUCCUGUUGUCGACACAGUAACGGUUUUUCUGACCAUUGCUUCUCGCCUGAUCCUGACCAGUUUUACUAAUUUCACCUGGUGUCUCCUCCUACUGAGGCCUCUGACGUCUCCUCCUACAUGACGACCCACCAACCCUCUGCUUUGAUUCUCUGCCAGCUGUUUCUGGAUUCUGGGCCUCGUGGUCUGUGUCUGACUGACGGAUGCAGAACCUCCUGUGGUGUUUGUGGACCUGUGGUUUCUAUUGGUGACUGGUACAAGAAACUAAUAAUACCAACACUCUCUCAGUUCUUCUUUAUUAGCAAGUGCUCAUAUUUAAUUUCUACAUCUUGUCAGGCGGCUUAAUAUGGCGGACCCACAUGCAUGGCACUUGAGACAGGUAGAUACGAUUACAGGCUUUAAUCACAAGUCCAGAAAUGCAGGUACGGUAGUCAGAUACACAGGUGAUCAGAUGGGGCGACGGUACAGACAGGGUUCGGUUCAAGAUUCGGCAACAGGUUUGUUUUAGGACAAACGCUGGAAAGUGGUGAUAACACGUGACAAUCUGAAAGGAAUGAGGUGAGUAUUGGAGACUAAAUACAGGUACAAGACAGCUUGUCAAUUUAUUGCAGCUGCAUGAGUCAUGUGACUGUAUGUGAAACUCAGGCUAGACCUGACCAACACAUGAGUCCAGACUGUGACACAUCUUGUGACUGAGAGCACUUCCUGAUCUACAUCCUUGUUAAUUGUUCACUGAGUUCUUGGUUUUACUAAAACUUCUAGCCAACGUGUCAAACAAACCUUCCUCAUCAGCUCUUCUUCCUCCUCAUUCUUCUCUCAAUGUCAGAAUCUUGUUUGUCUAAAUUAUUACAAAAUGAACUUCACACAUUUAAAUUUACAAACCAGCAAACAAGAAGGAAGUAAGAUCUGUUUGAGAUGCGCAAAAAAUACGACUUCAUUAUUAGACACAGUUACUUCUGUAUUAAUCGUCAGCUACAUGUUUAUUUGGCUGCCGAUUGUUUUACACCUUCUUAGUUUAGGCAAAAAAUCAUCUUGUAGUGGUUUUACUCCAAAGAUAAUUAACCUCAGAAUUUAUUUUUCUACAAAUCAUGAAAUCAUUGAAUGACGUUGUCUCAUCUCUCCUUUAUCUGUCGUGUGAUCAUGAGCCUUUUAACUUUUCCUCCAUAAAAACCUUCAGUCAAUGACUUGAUUUUGAGGCUAAUCUCAUUUUAAUCUGAUGGUUUUGUCUCUAACGGUUCCUCUUAUUUUUCCACCUCAUUAGUUUCUUUACCUUCUUUGUAGGUUUGUACUCGGCUCAUCGCUCUCAGUCUUCAGGAUCCAGACUCCAGUUUUAAUGGAUGGAAGCUUUGUGUGUAAAUCAUAGUAUUUGUUGUCACAGCAGUCAGUCAUCAAUCAUCUGUUAGUGUGACGUGUUGUUAGACUCACCUUCAGUCUCUGCUGCUGCUGCGUUUCAACACUGAAGCAUCAACACUCGUAAGUGAAGUGAACUGCGUCACCAUCAGUUUGAGUGAGUUCAUAGAACAACCCUUCCUGUCAGACUCACACAGGAAACAGCUGCUUUUAAAGCUUUAAUAUUAAAACACAGGUUUAAACUGUGCAUUUGUAACAAACAUUUAACAGCAAGGUCACAGAUAUUUAUCAUUAAGUCUUUUUAUUUAUGUUCAAACUCAACAGUUUUAAAUGUACAGAUGUGGAAACGCUUCAACACUUUGGCCGAUGAAGGUUUUACAGGACGUGUAUAGAUGAUUAUUAGUAGAAUUAAAAAAAGUAGUAGAUUUAAAGCAGAUCAUUGAGUCACUAAGUAAAUUUGUUUAAUUUUAAAGAUGCUUGGAGAUAAAAAUCCUAUUCUAUUUCUACUUCAUCUACAGUAACGUUGUAGUAAAUCUGCAUCCGUGCCACCAGGGGGCAGUCUGGUUUGGUUUUGUUUAGUGUCCACUUGUUUUGUUGUCAUUUCCUGUAGUUAAUUUGAUUGAGUUCACCUGUUUUAGUUAUUAUUUAAGUUCUAGUUUUUUGUACAGAUCUUGUUUGUUCGUUGGUGAUGCUAUGUUCAUUUGAGCCAGUUAUUUGCUGGGUGUCCUGUCUGGUGUCGAGGAUGGUUUGGUCCAUGUGUGUUUUGUGUUUGUUACCUGUAGCAAGAUUAUUUAUUGUUUAGGCUUCCUGCUCUGCAGUAGUGAUGGCCAAACGAAGCUUGUAACAAAAACAGGCAUCAUUACUCGAAGUUUUUCAACAGUGUCUUUAGUGACCUCUAGUGGUUAAAACAUGAAUUGCAGCUUGAAGUUACUGUAAUGAACCGCUCCUUUAUGGUUUCAAACUCAAGUUGAGGCCUUCUUAUUAAUACCAUUUGACCGUUUUAGUUUGAUAGAAUUGUGAUGCUUUGAGAAAAAUACACUUUUGUGAUUAAUUAAAUAAACGUUACUGUGUUAACGUCC